AUAGAGAGAAGAGAGAGAGAGAGAGAGGGCGUGACCUAGAGAGAGAAGGAGGAGAAGAAAGAAAGGAAGAAGAAGAAGAAAAAGGGGUUCAAGCUAGGGGUUUGAGCAAGGAGGAUUAUUGGACUCUUGGUUGGUUUUGAUUCUUGAUUUUCUAUCAAGAAGAGGUAGCAAAUAGGAUUUCUUUAUGGCACGCGUGGUGACGUGAGGAGUUCUUUCAUCAUGGGGUGUAUGGCGUGGGGUAAUCCUAUGGACGGAAAAACGAUCAACGUAGAACGCCAUUUAAAUUAUGUUUUGUUUUUAAGAGACUUUCCUAAAUUAUCAGUGGGACUCAGUUAUUUAAUUUUUGGUUUCUUUGAACUUUGCAUAAAAACCUAUGUUUUAUUUUAAAACUUGUGGUGCCAACUUGCAUGGUUUUAAACAAG